UCGUGUCGUGAGAUGUUGGGUUAAGUCCGUACGAGCGCAACCCUGUCCUUAGUUACCAGCACGUUAUGGUGGGCACUCUAAGGAGACUGCCGGGUGACAACCGGAGGAAGGUGGGGGAUGACGUCAAGUCAUCAUGGCCCUUACGGCCUGGGCUACACACGUGCUACAAUGGUCGGUACAAAGGGUUGCCAAGCCGCGAGGUGGAGCUAAUCCCAUAAAACCGAUCGUAGUCCGGAUCGCAGUCUGCAACUCGACUGCGUGAAGUCGGAAUCGCUAGUAAUCGUGAAUCAGAAUGUCACGGUGAAUACGUUCCCGGGCCUU
rnacentral:rRNA from 1 species